AGCUAAUGGCCGACUCGGUCGUUCAUGCGGCCACGCUCGGUUUCCGGUGCCGAGCCGGCUCGAAAGCCGAAACGACAAUGUCGAUCGCUUCAUCGCGUAAAUUCUAAAAUUUUCCACGCCCGUGAAAACGUGGCAAUUUACGAUCUUAUCUUGACACGUGCCGCGCCAUUUUUCAGUCAUUUAUUCAUCCACGUCACGUGGAUUCACGCGGGCCCCCGUGACACAUCUUUGGCGUUUAUCAUAUUUAUUAAGUAAAAUGUAUGUUAUAAUGCUACAAAAAAUUAUUUAUUAUAAAGGAAAAGGUACCACAUGAUACCUCGUAAUUACAUAUUCAGUCAUGUGAAAACUCAGAAAUUAUUUUACGCGUUUCUUUUUGUAACCGAAAUAUUAAACAACCUGAAACGUUGAUCGUGCAACCUCAGGGAUCAACGUGACGUGGAACGUGUUAAAAAUAAAAAUUACCUUCUAUUUUGUUCUCAUUUUGAAACGUCAUUUCGCAUGAAGUUACGUUACAUUUAGUGCAUUAUUUAUCUUUGAAUAUUUUGAAUGGUAUAUUUUAAUUGGAUUCCACAUAAUUCAAUAAAAUGUUUCAGGUAGAGUUCUCAUCGCUACGAUGAUUACAAAUUUUUGCUCAAUCGUCGCCCUCCCCUUGUUCCCCUCCGAUUUAUACGCGAGUUAUGAAGUUCUCGAACUUCCGAAGGCAACCCGCCUUGGUACGUGCUCGAUUAACGUAUAACUCGGCUAUAGCCGAGUAACUCGCGCGCGCGCGCGCGUAAUUUACGCUUAUUGCUCCUUAUUGCCAUUGUGAAAUACGGAGUCUCACUUCGUCGCCCGUCCGAAUUCGGUGCUAAGGCACUAAGUAAAGUCGAUUCGCUCGAUCGAGUAUCGCUGCACCACGUCGGGGAGAGCGCCAUUCGCGGCUCCAGGUGCUCCAGGGCAAUAACUUUAACUCACGUCCGCGCCAAGAUGUUAAUAUCUGAAACCCUGCGCUCUUCGCGCAGCUGACACGCGCGGGUCAUGGUGCAUUAUUAUUAUUAUCGGUACGUGCAUCCGUAUGAAACGCCGUAUCUCAUCGUCGCCGAUUUACGACCCGCCGGGAUCCGUCUACGAUCUUUAUUUAAUAAAUAACCGAGAGAGAUGAGCGGCAAACGAUUCAGAGUUUGCUUCGAUCCGAUGCAGUGUUGAUAUUUGCAUUUAGCACGCACAUUGAACGCUUGAAUCGACAUCGAUAAUUUCUUAAUCCUUUCAAUCUCGGAUUAUAUUGAAAAAAUAGUAAUUGAGUUGCUUUUGGCACGAAAAUCUAUUGAAUCUUUCUUUUAAAUGCGUUACUACGAGCGAAAAAUUACAAACAAGUUUUAUCUCACAGCGUGAUACCGUUCAGCUGAACGUUAUACUUGUGUAAUUGUAGCGAUCGAACUCUAGAAUGAUUGUCAAUGUAAUGUAAGAUGAGCAGAGAUGGUGCAUUAACGUUUUACGGCAAUUUUACCGUUUGCGUGCACGCACAGCGCGUGCGGCGAUCAUCGUAAUUAUUGAUGAAUAUUGAUCGAGAAGAAAAGAGUUUUCACAUUUCUAUUCGGUUUAUUUGCCUUUUCGUUGUUUUAGAUGAUCGCUAUUUUCUUUACGCUUAAACAAGCAAAUCAAUUAUUAUUCGAAAUUCGUUUAGACUUUUGCAAAUAAAUCUGAAAUUCGCGGUGGGAUUUAUGCAAUAUAGAGAUUGACUACAAGAGGUUGACUACAGAAAUUGAAAUCAGUACCAUCGCGUGUCGUGUGCUACGUAUAUACGCUUGUGCGUGUGCAGGAGUGGGUGCACACGGAAAAUCGCGAGGCGCGGGGUGGUCGGAGUGGCGAAGAAAAAGUUAGAGCGGGCGAUAUUUGCCGUGCGCGCGGGACGUACGCCAUCCGACAGGGGUAAUAAAUAAUGUUUCAUCCUGCGAAGCGCGGCGGGAACGAAGCGCGCUCGGCUCACGCUUCCGCGUUCGCGUGACGGAUCGAUUCAAUUUGCCGAUGGUCAAACGCUUUCCUAGAUACUAUGAAGUUAAAGCCCGUUUCGAUCGCGGCGGUAAAUGCGCCGCGAGCGCGUUAACCCUUUCCCCGAUCAAAUCAAUCUCGGCGAUGCGAUCCGUCUCGUGGAAAGCUGUAAUUUUCUUACUCUACCGUGUGUUCUUUUCCGUAUAUCCCUAUUUCUGCGCCGCUACCAUAACUCGUACGCGCAAUCAUCGUCGUGAAUCAGAUGUAGGCAAAUGCAUCAGCUCCCGCAUACUGAUUCUCCAUUUGGCAAAUUUGUAGUCGAUUUUUCUCCUAGAACUCACCGGAAGGAGGAGAAGGGAGAGGAGAGAAUAUAAUAACGAAUUUAUUUAGCGUUGAAAAUGAAAUUAAGGUAAUUAGGGAGACUAGGUGAAGGAGUAAAGUGCAUUCGCGUGGAAAUAAUAAUCUAUCGCAAACGAUCGCGAGGGUUUCUCGGUUGAAUUGUGAAUUUCCGCCAGAUCACUAUAAUCUCGCUACACCGUCAUCUUUGAUAGGCGAGCUGUCAGUUCGCGCGGGGAACCCCUGUGUACAUAUCCGCGAAGCGUAUCCGCAUACGGUGUCGACGUUUCAUAAAUUCUAACGCGUCUCGCGUCAAAACGGACGUAAGUAGCGAAUGUAGGGCAUAUCAGAGAUAAUUGACGUUAACAUCUUUCGCAAUGUACACGAGAUACAUAUAAGCGGAUCGUCGAUACGACUUAAAACUUUUUAAAUUAGCAGUCGGAGGUAUCGCGGAGUAAAUAAAUGAAAUUGAGUACAUAAGUGAGAAAUAGUUGUGAAAAUAUAUGUAAUACAAUAUUUAAUAUUUAAUAACGCUGAGUUUUAAUAGAAUUAAACACCGAAGUGAUAAAAUUAAUAUUGCGAGAUAUAUUUUAAUGAGUGAAUUUUAUAUAUUUGUUCAUGACAAAUAUGAAAUUAUAAUAUCUCGUUAUUGCCGCGAUUUAAUGAAGCUGAUAAACUAUUAUGCAUCGACAAUUGUGUUUAAAUUAUGUUGUACACGCCUAAUAUUUUAAUGCAAUUACGCGUUAAAACGUAUCACAGCGAUACAAUCUUUGAACAUUAGGAACAGUAUCGAAAUAUAAAAAUUACGUAAAAUUACUUUUAUUUUAUGUUACAUAAAAAAUAUUUUUUAACACAUACAUACUAUAUAUAUAUUGUACGUGUAUAUAUGUGUGUGUGUAUAGUAUAUUGUAUAUUUGCAAUAAAUAUUAUCGAAAAAAAAUAACAUCACUGAUAGCUAUCUAUCGAUAUUUUCUCCUCCGAUUAACGCUCCACUUUAUCGAAAUUUCUCCUCGCACUCGGAAUUCAUUGCAAGAGCGGAUAUAUUCGCCGUUUCGCGUCGAAACCAGUCGUCAAUUACGACUGCCAAUCGAAAACGAGUCGACGAUAGGCAAUCGUCAAUACGUAAAAAACGCCUUCGGCUGCGUCGGAAAUCCAUUCCUGCCCGGCAAUUAAUCCGUGCUUUCCGUGCUUUCGCGAUGAUUUCCAGCCGCGUUCUGUGUAUCUUGCGAAUCAAUGCGAGCGCACGAGAAACGCGCGCACGGUAACCAUAAUCGGAGACGUGGGUGGCCGCUAUGAUUUUUUCUUCGGGACUAUCUGCCGAUCUCAAUAGUCGAGUAAUUCCACGGUAACUCUCUUUCCCCGGUACCUUAACCCCCGCGUGUGGUCCCCCACCUCGUCUCCUUUCCCUCUUCCAUCCUACCAACCCCUUCGACGUCUCUCGGCCGAGGCGAGCGAGGUGCAUUCUGACACCUACGACUGGCCAUGAGACGCGCCACGGCAAAAAGUACUGAAAGAAGCGUAGCGACCGAGCUCGAUUUCCAGUGUCGGUUAGGCCUCCCGUCGGCUUGGAGCCAACCAGAAACCAGAAGAACCACUCUCGUACGCUCACAUAGCCACACCUCUGCAACCAGCCCGAUUCCUCUUCUCCCUCGCCUACCUCUCUCUACUUCCGUCUCGCUCGUACGAGCUAUCUCCUGCUCCUCCGUCCUUUCUCUCUCGUCUACCGUACCAUGCCAGACUCCGCAAGAUUUUUUUCGUCUUCUGCGACCGCCAGAUGAGAGCUGGAGCCCUCUGCAGGCUCGCACACCAAGUUGUCGGCAGUUUCAAAAUUCGAUUCGCGAUCUCUUCUGCGUCCUUUGCUCCGAAAGAGUUUAUUUUUUCCUGAUUUAUCUACUUUCACAUUUCGAUGAUGAAAACGUCCUUAUGAAUCAGACGAAUCUCGAACAUUCGCAAAUGGUAAUCAAUUGGUAAUGUUGAUAAAUCAUUUCUUUGUUUGUGUGGCUUAAUUUUAUGCUCUAUGUAAUAUUUUUUUAUGGAUUCGAAUAAAUUUAACCGGAAUUGUAUAAAAUGGUUGAAAAUAAGUUUGAUGGUAUCUUAACUCGUUUAUUGUAAGACAAAAAAAUCGCUUUUUAUCAUGAUUAAGAGGAGUUUAUCUUCCCGUCGGCAGCCGCUUGAAUUUCGCUGUGAAUUUUGCGGCUAGUGUCUAUACGUCCAACGUUAAAUAUAAUUAAUGAUGCAUUUCAUAUAUCAUGAGAACUAGUAUAACAACUAUUUUAUUCGAAUCGAUUGAUUAUACGAUUUUACAAAUUUUACAAAUACAUUAAAAGAAGAGUUUGGUAAUAGCUACCAAAUGUUGAGUGAAAUAAUGCCAGUUUGGUUAAUAUAACUUGAUUAUACUUACUAAAUCUUUAGAAAAGUAAAAUUAUUUUUGGUUUUAUUAUUCAAAUAAUUAAUUGGCAUUGUUUCACUCGACAUGUAGCUUAUCAAAUUCUUUUUUUCAGUGUAUGGUAUGUGGAUGUGCAAACUGCAAGUUCUUCCAUUCGCAUAGACGUUAAAUGCGUUAAAUACGCGACAUAACCAGCGUUUCAAGAGAUUUCUUCCUCUUACGCAGAAUCCGACAACGCGAUAUUCGACGUAUUGAGGACGAAAACUAAAUUGUCGCUAGCUGAGACUUCGACCGGCGUAGAAUCCGCCGCGUCGCGGACGAUUGUCGUUUCUCGAGUACACGGUUUUGUAUCAAAGCCCCAUUAUUGCACAGGUGGUCGUAUAGCGGGAGUAUUCUAAUUAGCAAGCGUUCCAAUUAUCCACUUCGUGUUUCUCACCGAUAAUUGCGACUCGUGCCGCGCGCCCGAGGAGCAGCUCGUCACGAAUUUCUAUUUGCGAUUGCGCAACGCGGGGGGGUGGAGGAGGGGAAACGGGGGGAGAGAGAAGUGGAGGGAGAUCUCGUGGGCCUCGUGAAAUCGCGACUAUGUGUGAUAUCAGAUGUAUAUGCAAUUGCCGCGCGUCGCUGUACGAUACGUAAAAUUGCCCCGGUGCACAGAAACUGCACGUUGCUCGUAACUCUAAGCGCGCGCGGCCGCCACGCCGAUAAGAGGCGCGCAUGUUCGGCUCGUCCGUACGAUUUCUUUGAGCCACGCUCGCAAUUAGUUUCGAGUUACUGUAAUUGCGAGACCCACCGCGUGCACGUAACUAAGUUACGUCGUGCGAAAAAUGAGAUACAAACUCGUAAACUAUCAUUUUUCGUUGUAGCGCGAUAAGGAAUCGCGGCUGCUCGCACGGGUGUUAUAUGCUUGCUCAUUUGUAUCUUUAAUAGAAUCAAUGAACGUUUAUAUGCACAUAUGGCGUGUAGAAUGUUGACUGCAGUGGCAUCGGUUAUCUUUCAUGGCAUUAAGAUUAAGCGAGUGUUGAUAAUGAAAGUCACACUCAUUGAUUUAUUUUAUACCUGAAAUAAAUUUGCAAACUCUUUGCGCUCUCUUUCUCUCUCUUUCUCUCAACUUUCUUUUACACCUAAAAUAUUCUUUCGUUUCAUCUGUAUUUACCAGUCGCACCCCUCUCUUUGUUUGCGGCCGCUCUUUUCUGUCUAUACACUUCCAGAAAAAUAAAUAGCACAGAGGGAGUAGACGAUGUGGUGGCAAAGUCGUAUCGCGAUGAGGGCCGGGGUCGGAGGGUUGAAGAGAGAGAGAAAUUAAUUAGCUCUCGCGUUGCCGAAAAAAAGAGUUCAAAGGAAAUGGCGCAGACUGCGGAGAUCUGACUUCCGACUGUGCUUUCGUCAGGGAUGUAUGUAAUCUCUCUUCCUCUUUCCUCUCUUAUUUUGUGCGUUAUUGUGUACCGAACAUACGGUUAAAAAUGACGAGAAAUCCACAAAAUCGACACUAUGAUGCAAAGCUUAAAAAAAAAAAAAACAGUGAUUCCUUUGUUUCUCUCCUUUUCUCUUUGAGAUUGCCAGGUAGAAAUGAGCUCGUGACUUUUUAAUAAGUGUUCGGCAAGCUAUUUUAGUAAAAAAGUUAUUAAUUUUAACUGACAUAAAUCAUUAAUCACGCAAUGACAUUUUUCAUUAAUAUUAAUAAAAUAGCUAAACAGCUUGAUGAUAGUUAACGCAGCGUAAUCAAGUGUCCUUACUACCUUGCGAAAAGAAUGAUGGAAAGAGCGACCGCGCGCGCAAAUAAAAUACCUCCUGCAAACAGCUGCAAAUAAAAUAGCCCUGCGAUCGAACGUUAUUGCCGUUACUGAGGAAAAGCGUUUCCGAGGUGGAGGGAUACGUUAUCGGCGUUUGUCGCGAGCGUUUACAUCGGGGCGGAGUGACUUAACCGACGACAAACGUCCGUUCGCUCUGUGAGUCCAUCCGGGGCAGAGAUCCGUGCGUUUACCCUCGGUGGAAGUCGGGACCCGAAUAUAUACCCGAUAACUUUUCGCUUCUGAGGAAGGGGUGUGUCUGCGCGCGCGGGUCGAAAGGGGCAAACAAAUUGAAAUCUGUAUCUCUAAUCCGAUCCACUUUGUCUCCAAAUAAGACCAACCAACCCCCUCGCUUUGAGCUGACGACUCGGUGGUGGAGGCUUUAGACGCGUCUCUCACAUCGCUGCGCGUGUAUGUGUUUCCAUUUUGGUAUUUGUGCGUGUAUGUGUAUGUGUGUGCUCAAGUACACACAGGCGUUCACAAACGCGCGCGUACACAUAUACACACACACGUGCGCGCGCGCGCACACGCACACGAUGUAUAAAGGAGAGCGGAGGAGUGUACGGGCAAAGUAAACCCCGCAACUAGCUCGGUUGCCGAGGCCAGCUCGAGUUAUACGCAGCCAGUUUCAUCCCCUUUCGCGUUCCGCGGUGUCAUCGUCAGAGGGCGCUGUGGUUGACACAGAAUGACACCCUCCCCCAACCAACGGCACGGCGACGGCGGUAUACACAGCCGAGCUACCCCGUAGCGGAAUAGUCGUCACCGCCAGGGGCGGACAUGUAGAGGAACGAGACGCAUCCUAGAUGAGAAUCUUUCGAUCGAUCGGACACUCCAAACGACGAGCGCGACUAAUUGAUUCGCUUGCUUCCCGUCAGACGAACUUAGGAAACGUAUCGUGUUUCGCUUCUCUCGUUAUUGGAAGCAAAUCACUCGGAGAACGUAAAACGCGAAUUACUUAACACAAUUUCGCAGCCACUGUGGUUAACUAAUGCGACUACGCGUAUGCGAUGGUUCACCGCAUCGGGGGAGGAACAAAUGGUCUAUAUCGGGGUGGCGUACUCGCGAACAGUGGUUGGUAGGCAUCAUUAAUUAUAUGGGAGUUAUUGGCACUAUCAACGUAGCGUUUCAAAGACCGGAUGCACUACAUACGCGUACUGUCCACUUCCUGCGGGCGGAAUGGCAACGCAAUCGAAGACAUAAUUUGAUAGUAAUAUUAUCGCCCAAAGCGAAAAGUUUAUGUCAUUAUGAUGAAACUAAUUUUGGAACGACUUGUACAACAGAUACAAUUGUACUUGAACAAACUUAUUACAUAACGUUUUUUCGCUGUUUUAGGUUUCUUUAAAAUGCACGUUAACUCUAUAGGUACGAUAGUUUCUCAUUUUAAUAUUAAUAUUUAUAUCGUGCAUCUGUUAUGUAUAUUUCGUGAAUAUAUUUUUCCUCUACGUAACUAUCAUAAAUAUAAAUGUUUGUUAGUAUA